rnacentral:lncRNA from 1 species
UUUUCCCUUUGUUCCUUCUGGAGAACAUGAUGAUGAUUCUGAUUCUCCCAUUCACUUCUCUCCUCCCUCUUCUCCCUCAUCUUUGCAGAUGCCUUUUCCUGUCACUGUCCCAACUGCUUCAGCCCUCCCUUCUCCUUUCAAUCCUGCCAGCUCACCUCCUGUUUUCGCUUCUUCUCCCUCUAUUCAUGCUCCCAGAAAGUCUCAAAGACAGCAUAAUCCUCCUUCCUAUCUUAAGGAUUAU